GACGAACGCUGGCGGCGUGCUUAACACAUGCAAGUCGAACGGAAAGGCCCUGCUUUUGUGGGGUUCUCGAGUGGCGAACGGGUGAGUAACACGUGAGUAACCUGCCCUUGACUUUGGGAUAACUUUAGGAAACUGGGGCUAAUACCCGAUAGGAGCUCCUGCUGCAUGGGGGGGGUUGGAAAGUUUCGGCGGUUUGGGAUGGAAUCGCGGCUUAUCAGCUUGUUGGUGGGGUAGUUGCUUACCAAGGCUUUGACGGGUAGGCGGCCUGAGAGGGUGACCGGCCACCUUGGGACUGAGAUACGGCCCAGACGCCUACGGGAGGCAGCGGUGGGGAAUAUUGCACAAUGGGCGGAAGCCUGAUGCAGCAGCGCCGCGUGCGGGAUAACGGCCUUCGGGUUGUAAACCGCUUUCGCCUGUGACGAAGCGUGAGUGACGGUAAUGGGUAAAGAAGCACCGGCUAACUACGUG
rnacentral:rRNA from 1 species